GACCAUGUUAGUUAAUAGAUCCUCAUUUGCUGGUUCGAUUAGCAAUGAUCUUUAUCGAUUGUUGUUAAUUGCCAGAACGUUUACUUUGAGAAAAUUAGAGUGCUAAAAGCAGGCUCACGCCUAUAUAUAUUGCAUGGAAUAAUGAAAUAAGAUCUCGAUUUUAUUUCGUUGGUUUUAGAAAUUGAGAUAAUGAUUAAUAGGAUCAGAGGGGGGCGUACGUACUGUGGUGUGAGAGGUGAAAUUCUUGGAUCGCCACAGGACGAACAGCAGCGAAGGCGUUCGCCAAGAAUGUUUUCAUUAAUCAAGAACGAAAGUUUGAGGUUCGAAGACGAUUAGAUACCGUCCUAGUUCAAACCAUAAAUGUUGCCAACUGUCUUUUAGAUGCGGUUAUUUUUAAUGACUCAUCUGGCGGAUCUCGAGAAAUCUAAGUUUUUAGGUUCCGGGGGAAGUAUGGUUGCAAAGCUGAAACUUAAAAGAAUUGACGGAAGGACACACAAGAAGUGGAGCCUGUGGCCUAAUUUGACUCAACACGGGAAAUCUUACUUGGCCAGGACACUUUUAGGAUUGACAGAUUGAGAGCUCUUUCUUGAUUAGGUGGGUGGUGGUGCAUGGUCGUUCGUAGUUCGUGGAGUGAUUUGUCUGAUUAAUUUCGAUAACGAACGAGACUCCGACUUACUAAAUAGUCUAAAGUUCGAAAGGACUUUUAUUGAAGACUUCUUAGCAGGAUAAGUGGCACUCAU
rnacentral:rRNA from 1 species